rnacentral:rRNA from 1 species
AUAGUAAUGUGAAUUGCAGAAUUCAGUGAAUCAUCGAAUCUUUGAACGCACCUUGCGCCCCUUGGUAUUCCGAGGGGCACGCCUGUUUGAGUGUCGUGAAAUUCUCAA